rnacentral:rRNA from 1 species
UGGGGGAUAUUGCACAAUGGGCGAAAGCCUGAUGCAGCGACGCCGCGUGGGGGAUGAAGGCCUUCGGGUUGUAAACUUCUUUUGCUCUGAACAAGGCGCACUUUGGGGUGUGUUGAGUGUAGGGGUUGAUUAGCGCCGGCUAACUACGUGCCAGCAGCCGCGGUAAUACGUAGGGCGCGAGCGUUGUCCGGAAUUAUUGGGCGUAAAGGGCUUGUAGGUGGCUGGUUGCGUCUGUCGUGAAAGCUCAUGGCUUAACUGUGGGUUUGCGGUGGGUACGGGCUGGCUUGAGUGCAGUAGGGGAGGCUGGAAUUCCUGGUGUAGCGGUGGAAUGCGCAGAUAUCAGGAGGAAUACCGGUGGCGAAGGCGGGUCUCUGGGCUGUUACUGACGCUGAGGAGCGAAAGCGUGGGGAGCGAACAGG